rnacentral:rRNA from 1 species
GACGAACGCUGGCGGCGUGCUUAAAACAGGCAAGUAGAACGAAGUGGCGAACGGGUGAGUAAUACGUGGGUAAAUGGCACUCCUUUUUGGGAUAAGCAUUGGAAACGGGGUCUAAUACCGAAUAAAGGGGGAUGGGCUCGCGGCCUAUCAGCUUGUUGGUGGGGUGAUGGCCUACCAAGGCGGUGACGGGUAGGCGGCCUGAGAGGGUGACCGUGCAGAUGAGGACUAAGGUACGGCCCAGACUCCUACGGGAGGCAGCAGUGGGGGAUAUUGCACACUAGGCUAAAGCCUGAUGCAGCGACGCCUCGUGGGGGAUGAAGGCUUUCGGUUUGUAAACCUCUUUCGCUAUCGGACGUUUAGGUGGAGAAGAAGCGCCGGCUAACUACGUGCCCGCAGCCGCGGUAAUAC